AUUGAACGCUGGUGGCAGGCCUAACACAUGCAAGUCGAGCGGGGUUUUCGGACCUAGCGGCGGACGGGAGAGUAAUGCGUAGGAAGCUGCCCGAUAGAGGGGGAUACCAGUUGGAAACGACUGUUAAUACCGCAUAAUGUCUACGGACCAAAGUGUGGGACCUUCGGGCCACAUGCUAUCGGAUGCGCCUACGUGGGAUUAGCUAGUUAGUGAGGUAAUGGCUCACCAAGGCGACGAUCUCUAGCUGGUUUGAGAGGAUGAUCAGCCACACUGGAACUGAGACACGGUCCAGACUCCUACGGGAGGCAGCAGUGGGGAAUACUGGACAAUGGGCGCAAGCCUGAUCCAGCCAUGCCGCGUGUGUGAAGAAGGCCUUCGGGUUGUAAAGCACUUUCAGCGAGGAGGAAGGGUGGUGUGUUAAUAGCACUUCAUUUCGACGUUACUCGCAGAAGAAGCACCGGCUAACUCUGUGCCAGCCGCCGCAGUAAAAC
rnacentral:rRNA from 1 species